rnacentral:rRNA from 1 species
GACGAACGCUGGCGGCGUGCCUAAUACAUGCAAGUAGAACGCUGAAGGAGGAGCUUGCUCUUCUGGAUGAGUUGCGAACGGGUGAGUAACGCGUAGGUAACCUGCCUGGUAGCGGGGGAUAACUAUUGGAAACGAUAGCUAAUACCGCAUAAGAGUAGAUGUUGCAUGACAUUUGCUUAAAAGGUGCAAUUGCAUCACUACCAGAUGGACCUGCGUUGUAUUAGCUAGUUGGUGGGGUAACGGCUCACCAAGGCGACGAUACAUAGCCGACCUGAGAGGGGGAUCGGCCACACUGGGACUGAGACACGGCCCAGACUCCUACGGGAGGCAGCAGUAGGGAAUCUUCGGCAAUAGACGGAAGUCUGACCGAGCAACGCCGCGUGAGUGAAGAAGGUUUUCGGAUCGUAAAGCUCUGUUGUAAGAGAAGAACGAGUGUGAGAGUGGAAAGUUCACACUGUGACGGUAUCUUACCAGAAAGGGACGGCUAACUACGUG